AUCAUUAUUCACUUCUUUAGAAAUUAUAACAUUGUACCAGACUACUGUAACUACAUACUUACUGAAAUUUAAGACUGUUGAAGAAUAUUUAUUGUCUAUCACCAUUACAUAAUCUACACAUCAACUGGAAAUGCAUGCAGAUGCACCUACUUUCAAAUUGGCAUUUUACUCUGUCUAAAGCAAUAAAAUUUUACUCAGUGGAAGAAUACUGCUGUUAAUCGGUUAUUAACAACUAUUGAUAUCCACCCUGGGAUGGUUGUUCAUUCAAUUUGGGAUUUGCAGGGUGAAGUUCUUCAAUUGGCAGAUCUCUGACCUCACUCUGAGAGGACUGACUAGUCGUGAAAUUGGCAUGCAAAAUCGUAUGGCCUAUUGGCUCUGGGUUGAACACUUGUAGAUACUUAUAGAUACUGAAUUUAAAUACACUGGAAAUAGCAAAUUGUAUACAUUGACUGGAAAUGUACAAGUUUAAUAUUCAAAGAAGAUUCUAAACCAUUUUCACGUAUGUUUUGUUCUAAUUUUUAUCAGAUUACUUUGUUUACUUUACCCAUACUUUGUUUCCAUACUGACACCACCCAAUUUUACUUGUCAUUGGCAAUCUGCCAGUGCCGCUUGUUAAUUCACUAUAGUGGGUGAGCUGGCAAUGUGUCCAGCAAAUGCACCCUACAUUAUAUUUUUUUGAAAGAGAAGCAAUUGCAAGUUAAUGGUUAAUUCAUUAGGGCCAUGCAGGGAUGCCUGCCAAAACCUGCCUUCCAGGUUCAACAUGUCUUAGGGGCUGAUGACAUGGGGAGUUUUCAGCCCGGGCUGUAUUUCAACCCAGUUAACCGAGCUGAAAUUGUUUCACGAUUACAUGACAAAGUUCAGCCUGGGGUGAGUUAGAAUUUCAAUUCAAACCGGGGUGAAAUCUCAGCCCGGGCCGAAAGAAUGAAGUCUCAAAAUGGAGGUAUUCUGCUUCUUUGGAGAAUUUAAAAUGUUGAUCAUAUCUAUUGACUUCUGCAAGAGUGUGGUUGCAUUUAAAAGUAGAACAGACAGAAAUAAAGCCACUUAAAUGCUGUUUUUUCAACCUGGGUUGAAUUUUCCUGUCGAUUACAUGGCAAUUUUCAGCCCG